rnacentral:rRNA from 1 species
GUGCCAGCCGCCCGCGGUAAUACGGAGGGUGCUAGCGUUGUUCGGAAUUAUUGGGCGUAAAGAGCGUGUAGGCGGCCUCGUAAGUCAGAUGUGAAAUCCCUUGGCUUAACUGAGGAAGUGCAUUUGAAACUGCUUGGCUUGAGUACGGGAGGGGGAAGCGGAAUUCCCGGUGUAGAGGUGAAAUUCGUAGAUAUCGGGAGGAACACCGGUGGCGAAGGCGGCUUCCUGGACCGAUACUGACGCUGAGACGCGAAAGCGUGGGGAGCAAACAGG